rnacentral:lncRNA from 1 species
AUGGGGGCAGAAAUCAAAAUCAGGAGGAGGAAAAUCAAAAUCAGGAGGAGGAAAAUCAAAAUCAGGAGGAGGAAAAUCAAAAUCAGGAGGAGGAAAAUCAAAAUUAGGAGGAGGAAAAUCAAAAUCAGGAGGAGAACAAAGAUCGAGAGGAGGGAAAUCAAAAUCAGGAGGAGGAAAAUCGAGAUCAGGAGGAGGAAAAUCAAAACCAAGAGGAGGAAAGUCAAGAUGGGGAAGAGGAAAAUGAAGAUCAAGAGGAGGAAAAUCGAGAUGGAGAGGAGGAAAAUCGAGAUCAGGAGGAGGAAAAUCAAAAUUAGGAGAAGGAAAAGCAAAACCAAGAGGAAGAAAAUCAAGAUUAAGAGGAGAAAAAUGAAGAUCAGGAGGAUGAAAAGCAAAAUGGGGAGGAGGAAAAUGAAGACCAGGAGGAGGAAAAUCGAGAUGGAGUGGAGAAUAAAGAUCAGGAGGAGGAAAAUCAAGAUCAGGAGGAGGAAAAUCAAGAUCAGGAGGAGGAAAAUCGAGAUCAAGAAGACGGAAAUCGAGAUGGGGAGGAGAAAAAGCAAAACCAAGAAGAGGAAAAUCGAGAUCAGGAGGAGGAAAAUCAAGAUCGAGAGGAGGAAAAUCAAGAUGGGGAGGAGGAAAAUCAAAAUCAGGAGGAGGAAAACAAAGAUCGAGAGGAGGAAAAUCGAGAUCAGGAGGAGGAAAAUCGAGAAGGGGAAGAGGAGAAUAAAGAUCAGGAGGAGGAAAAUCAAAACCAAGAGGAGGAGAAGCAAAAUGGGGAGGAGAAAAAUCAAGAUGGGGAGGAGGAAAAUCGAGAUGAAGAGGAGAAUAAAGAUCAGGAGGAGGAAAAUCAGGAUGGGGAGGAGGAAAAUGAAGAUCAAGAGGAGGAAAAUCAAGAUGAAGAGGAGGAAAAUCGAGAUCCGGAGGAAGAAAAUGGAGAUCGAGAGGAGAAUAAGGAUGGGGAGGAGGAAAAUCCAGAUGAAGAGGAGGAAAAUUGAGAUGAGGAGGAGGAAAAUCGAGAUCGAGAGGAGGAAAAUCGAGAUCGAGAGGAGGAAAAUCAGGAUGGGGAGGAGGAAAAUCGCGAUAGGGAGGAGGAAAAUCGAGAUCGAGAGGAGGAAAAUCGAGACCAGGAGGAAAAUCGAGAUCGAGAGGAGGAAAAUCAGGAUGGGGAGGAGGAAAAUCGCGAUAGGGAGGAGGAAAAUCGACGGAUGGGGAGGAGGAAAUCGCGAUGGGGAGGAGGAAAAUCGAGAUCAGGAGGAGGAAAAUCGCGAUAGGGAGGAGGAAAAUCGCCAUGGGGAGGAGGAAAAUCAGGACGGGCAGGAGGAUUUGGGGCUGGCUCGAGUUCUCGGGGCUGUUUUUGCCUCCAGGUUUCCCUGGCCGGCAGCGCGGGGGGGGAUGAGGGGAUUCAAUCAACACCCAAAAUUUGGCCGGGCCGGCGGAACAGAGCGAGGUUUGUGA